GCUGGCAGCUAGCUCUCUGCAAGUCUUACAUGGUUGCCCACUGAAGCUAAGCAGGGCUGCUCCUGGUCAGUACCUGGAUGGGAGAACACAUGGGACAGCUAGGUUGCUGCUGGAA
rnacentral:rRNA from 1 species